UGCGAAAGAAAUUAAUGCCUCUAAGGUUGAAUUUAAUAAAAUUUAAUAGUUAGAAGAACCGAUACAAUCUAGUAAACCCAUAGAGUUGGAUUUGAUUAGAUCAAAUUCAAAAUAUGUUGUGGGGACAUCUUUGAAGAGAUCUAGUAGAAUACCACAUCAGUCGGAAAGAUACUAUAUUUUCUUGAUUUGAAAUGGUGAUUCUGUUGAACUUGAUGAGAACAAUGAGGAUCC
rnacentral:lncRNA from 1 species